AUUGAACGCUGGCGGCAUGCCUUACACAUGCAAGUCGAACGGUAACAGGUCUUCGGAUGCUGACGAGUGGCGCACGGGUGAGUAAUACAUCGGAACGUGCCCGAUCGUGGGGGAUAACGAGGCGAAAGCUUUGCUAAUACCGCAUACGAUCUACGGAUGAAAGCGGGGGAUCUUCGGACCUCGCGCGGACGGAGCGGCCGAUGGCAGAUUAGGUAGUUGGUGGGAUAAAAGCUUACCAAGCCGACGAUCUGUAGCUGGUCUGAGAGGAUGAUCAGCCACACUGGGACUGAGACACGGCCCAGACUCCUACGGGAGGCAGCAGUGGGGAAUUUUGGACAAUGGGCGAAAGCCUGAUCCAGCCAUGCCGCGUGCAGGAUGAAGGCCUUUGGGUUGUAAACUGCUUUUGUACGGAACGAAAAGCCUCUUUCUAAUAAAGAGGGGUCAUGACGGUACCGUAAGAAUAAGCACCGGCUAACUACGUG
rnacentral:rRNA from 1 species